GUACAUUGAUGCGUCUUAUUGUACUUAGAUGGGAACUCCAUCUCUUAACACAUAUUUGUCAUCUUGCUUUAGACAAAACAACGGAUCUCUCUUUAGAGCAAAGACCUUGACUAAUCAUGGAAGUAUAUGUAGGCCUCACUAGUUAUAGAGCGCCUAAGCCGAUUGAUCAUCAAUACAGUCAUCUUAUCGAGACUGUGUCUUCCCAAGAUCUUUUUCUUCGGAUGUUGAUACAUAUUGACAUCUCUUGAUCCAUCAAGAGUCCAUGUAAAUCCGGAAUGAACACGCAAAGGCAUAAUUCACCAUAUCCCUUCCAAAUCAAGUAGAAUCCAUGUGCGUUUCAAUAGCUUUAGCAAACGCGUGCUACUGUGGUCUGGAGCCACUUGAUUCAGAUGAAUGAAGUCCGUUUAAAACCUUCAUGUAUAUCUCUGAUCCCGUAGAGAUGUUAUUAUGACCACAUCCAUAGGCUGCAUGUUCAGUUAUUCGGAAACUACCAAACUGACAAAGUAGUGGAGUUCAAUGACAUCCAUUACGAGAGCAUAUCUCAUCGUAGUUGAUCCUAGUGCGUGUUAGUGAGAGACCUUGCGCCAUAAGGUGAGUCUAAGCUCUUGUUCUCACUACGCUAUCUAACAAAGGCAUAGUUGAUAGGGUUUAGCUUGCGGUGUCGGCAUCACCUGCCCAAUGACCUAUCUCUUUAUUAAUGCUGGAUCGCAUCUUUCCAUUAGGUCAAUCAACUAAGUUGAUAUCCAUCAACGAAUGGUGGUUUGAUAGUAGACUCAUUAUCCCACGUCCUCAUGUACACUAGUGUAAUACUUGUAGAGAUCUCUAUAUGAAUUGGAUUUGACAUUGAGGCGUCCCCCAACGAUAAUCACAAUUCAGACUUCAUGAGACGGAUUUGAGUAUCACUGAUCAAUGGAUCAGGUUGUGCCAAGCUCGCUUUCUUUCUAGUGCAAGACAAUAUCGAACCUAAGAGCCUCCCUCCUUUUAGGAGCCACACGGCCUUGU
rnacentral:lncRNA from 1 species